UGCUCUCUGUAGAAUUUUAAGAUGGAGAGUCGGACCUGCCCGGUGACUUGUAGUUAAACGGCCGCGGUACUCUGACCGUGCAAAGGUAGCAUAAUCACUUGCCUUUUAAUUGGAGGCUUGUAUGAAUGGUUUGACGAGAGCUAAGCUGUCUCCCUAGAAAUAUUUAAAAAUUAACUUUUAGGUGAAGAGGCCUAAAUUUGCUUAAGGGACAAGAAGACCCUAUUGAGCUUUAGUGAAACUAAUGAACUAGUGUAAUGUCUACUUGAUUGCAUUUAUGUGUAAAUUAACUUCAUUAUUAAUCUUUAGUUGGGGCGACUGAGGAACUGAUUGAGCUUCCUCGAAUUACUGUUUAUAGUUAGACAGACUAGUCAUGAGGAUCCAGCGCGAUUAAUGCUGAUUAAGGGAAAAAGUUACCAUAGGGAUAACAGCGUAAUCUUUCUGGAGAGUUCUUAUCGAAAGAAGGGUUUGCGACCUCGAUGUUGGACUAAGGUAUCCCGGAGGUGUAGAAGCUUCCGAUGGUUGGUCUGUUCGACCAUUAAAACCUU
rnacentral:rRNA from 1 species